rnacentral:tRNA from 1 species
CAGAUAUUAGUUUAAAUAAAAUAUUAAUUUUGGAGAUUAAAAAUAAAGGUAAUUCUUUAUAUCUGA